rnacentral:rRNA from 1 species
GAUCAUGGCUCAGGAUGAACGCUAGCUACAGGCUAACACAUGCAAGUCGAGGGGCAGCAUAACGAAAGCUUGCUUUGUGAUGGCGACCGGCGCACGGGUGAGUAACGCGUAUCCAACCUUCCCCUUAGUAGAGGAUAGCCCGGCGAAAGUCGGAUUAAUACUCUAUGUUUUCCGUUGAUGGCAUCUGAGAUGGAGCAAAGGUUUACCGCUAAGGGAUGGGGAUGCGUCUGAUUAGGUAGUCGGCGGGGUAACGGCCCACCGAGCCGACGAUCAGUAGGGGUUCUGAGAGGAAGGUCCCCCACAUUGGAACUGAGACACGGUCCAAACUCCUACGGGAGGCAGCAGUGAGGAAUAUUGGUCAAUGGGCGAGAGCCUGAACCAGCCAAGUAGCGUGCAAGGAUGACGGCCCUAUGGGUUGUAAACUGCUUUUGCAUGGGAAUAAAGUGCGGGACGCGUCCCGUUUUGUAUGUACCAUGAGAAUAAGGACCGGCUAAUUCCGUGCCAGCCGCAGC